GUAUAGACCCGAAACCCGGUGAUCUAGCCAUGGGCAGGUUGAAGGUUGGGUAACACUAACUGGAGGACCGAACCGACUAAUGUUGAAAAAUUAGCGGAUGACCUGUGGCUGGGGGUGAAAGGCCAAUCAAACCGGGAGAUAGCUGGUUCUCCCCGAAAGCUAUUUAGGUAGCGCCUCGUGAAUUCAUCUCCGGGGGUAGAGCACUGUUUCGGCUAGGGGGCCAUCCCGGCUUACCAACCCGAUGCAAACUGCGAAUACCGGAGAAUGUUAUCACGGGAGACACACGGCGGGUGCUAACGUCCGUCGUGAAGAGGGAAACAACCCAGACCGCCAGCUAAGGUCCCAAAGUCAUGGUUAAGUGGGAAACGAUGUGGGAAGGCCCAGACAGCCAGGAUGUUGGCUUAGAAGCAGCCAUCAUUUAAAGAAAGCGUAAUAGCUCACUGGUCGAGUCGGCCUGCGCGGAAGAUGUAACGGGGCUAAACCAUGCACCGAAGCUGCGGCAGCGACGCUGAUGCGUUGUUGGGUAGGGGAGCGUUCUGUAAGCCUGCGAAGGUGUGUCGUGAGGCAUGCUGGAGGUAUCAGAAGUGCGAAUGCUGACAUAAGUAACGAUAAAGCGGGUGAAAAGCCCGCUCGCCGGAAGACCAAGGGUUCCUGUCCAACGUUAAUCGGGGCAGGGUGAGUCGACCCCUAAGGCGAGGCCGAAAGGCGUAGUCGAUGGGAAACGGGUUAAUAUUCCCGUACUUGGUGUUACUGCGAAGGGGGGACGGAGAAGGCUAUGUUGGCCGGGCGACGGUUGUCCCGGUUUAAGCGUGUAGGUGUGUGUUCCAGGUAAAUCCGGUUCACUUUAACACUGAGGCGUGAUGACGAGGCACUACGGUGCUGAAGCAACAAAUGCCCUGCUUCCAGGAAAAGCCUCUAAGCAUCAGGUAACAUCAAAUCGUACCCCAAACCGACACAGGUGGUCAGGUAGAGAAUACCAAGGCGCUUGAGAGAACUCGGGUGAAGGAACUAGGCAAAAUGGUGCCGUAACUUCGGGAGAAGGCACGCUGACACGUAGGUGAAGUGAUUUACUCAUGGAGCUGAAGUCAGUCGAAGAUACCAGCUGGCUGCAACUGUUUAUUAAAAACACAGCACUGUGCAAACACGAAAGUGGACGUAUACGGUGUGACGCCUGCCCGGUGCCGGAAGGUUAAUUGAUGGGGUCAGCGCAAGCGAAGCUCCUGAUCGAAGCCCCGGUAAACGGCGGCCGUAACUAUAACGGUCCUAAGGUAGCGAAAUUCCUUGUCGGGUAAGUUCCGACCUGCACGAAUGGCGUAAUGAUGGCCAGGCUGUCUCCACCCGAGACUCAGUGAAAUUGAACUCGCUGUGAAGAUGCAGUGUACCCGCGGCAAGACGGAAAGACCCCGUGAACCUUUACUAUAGCUUGACACUGAACAUUGAGCCUUGAUGUGUAGGAUAGGUGGGAGGCUUUGAAGUGUGGACGCCAGUCUGCAUGGAGCCGGCCUUGAAAUACCACCCUUUAAUGUUUGAUGUUCUAACGUGGACCCGUGAUCCGGGUUGCGGACAGUGUCUGGUGGGUAGUUUGACUGGGGCGGUCUCCUCCUAAAGAGUAACGGAGGAGCACGAAGGUUGGCUAAUCCUGGUCGGACAUCAGGAGGUUAGUGCAAUGGCAUAAGCCAGCUUGACUGCGAGCGUGACGGCGCGAGCAGGUGCGAAAGCAGGUCAUAGUGAUCCGGUGGUUCUGAAUGGAAGGGCCAUCGCUCAACGGAUAAAAGGUACUCCGGGGAUAACAGGCUGAUACCGCCCAAGAGUUCAUAUCGACGGCGGUGUUUGGCACCUCGAUGUCGGCUCAUCACAUCCUGGGGCUGAAGUAGGUCCCAAGGGUAUGGCUGUUCGCCAUUUAAAGUGGUACGCGAGCUGGGUUUAGAACGUCGUGAGACAGUUCGGUCCCUAUCUGCCGUGGGCGCUGGAGAACUGAGGGGGGCUGCUCCUAGUACGAGAGGACCGGAGUGGACGCAUCACUGGUGUUCGGGUUGUCAUGCCAAUGGCACUGCCCGGUAGCUAAAUGCGGAAGAGAUAAGUGCUGAAAGCAUCUAAGCACGAAACUUGCCCCGAGAUGAGUUCUCCCUGAGACUUAGAGUCUCCUGAAGGAACGUUGAAGACGACGACGUUGAUAGGCCGGGUGUGUAAGCGCAGCGAUGCGUUGAGCUAACCGGUACUAAUGAACCGUGAGGCUUAACCUUACAACGCCGAAG
rnacentral:rRNA from 1 species